rnacentral:rRNA from 1 species
GUGUCAGCAGCCGCGGUAAUACGUAGGUGGCGAGCGUUGUCCGGAAUAACUGGGCGUAAAGGGAGCGUAGGUGGUUGGAUAAGUUAGGUGUGAAAGCCCAGGGCUCAACUCUGGAACUGCACUUAAAACUGUCCAACUAGAGUGCAGGAGGGGUAAACGGAAUUCCUAGUGUAGCGGUGAAAUGCGUAGAUAUUAGGAAGAACACCGGAGGCGAAGGCGGUUUGCUGGACUGCAACUGACACUGAGGCUCGAAAGCGUGGGGAGCAAACAGGAUUAGAUACCCUGGUAGUCUACGCCCUAAACGAUGAUUACUAAACGUGGGAGGUAUCGACUCCUUCCGUGUUGAAGCAAACGCGAUAAGUAAUCCGCCUGAGGAGUACGGCCGCAAGGUUAAA